GCCUACGGGGCGCAGCAGUAGGGAAUUUUCGUCAAUGGGCGCAAGCCUGAACGAGCAAUGCCGCGUGAACGAGGAAGGUCUUCGGAUCGUAAAGUUCUGUUGAAAGGGAAAAAGAGCGGAGAGAGGAAAUGGUCUCCGAUUGAUAUUACCCUUCGAGGAAGUCACGGCUAACUACGUGCCAGCAGCCGCGGUAAUACGUAGGUGGCGAGCGUUAUCCGGAAUGAUUGGGCGUAAAGGGUGCGUAGGCGGCCUGCUAAGUCUGGAGUGAAAGGUACCGGCUCAACCGGUGCAGGCUCUGGAAACUG
rnacentral:rRNA from 1 species